CAGUAGCCGCGGUAAUACAGAGGGUGCGAGCGUUAAUCGGAUUUACUGGGCGUAAAGCGUGCGUAGGCGGCUUUUUAAGUCGGAUGUGAAAUCCCUGAGCUUAACUUAGGAAUUGCAUUCGAUACUGGGAAGCUAGAGUAUGGGAGAGGAUGGUAGAAUUCCAGGUGUAGCGGUGAAAUGCGUAGAGAUCUGGAGGAAUACCGAUGGCGAAGGCAGCCAUCUGGCCUAAUACUGACGCUGAGGUACGAAAGCAUAGGGAGCAAACAGGAUUAGAUACCCGGGUAGUCCCUGUCUCUUAUAU
rnacentral:rRNA from 1 species